rnacentral:sRNA from 1 species
AAAAGAGACGGAGUGGGAGGACGAGUGGACAGAGGAUAUUUUGUGGGUGAUCUGACAAGCCUUACUGAGAGGUCAAGCAGACCUCUGCCGAGGGGAAGGAGAGCUCCUUGAUUGCGUGGAACACGGUGUCCUAGACUGCUGACAAGCAAAGUAGCUUAAUGGCCACCAAGGCAUGCGGGGCAUGACUAGGAAGAGCUUGCUUUGUUCUCCCAGGGUGCAAACAAAACGACCAGAGGAGCCUGGAGUUUCUACGUUGAGACAGACUGAAGGAGGAUAUGAUGGAACUAAAAGGGGCCAGUGAAACUCUCCUAGUAAUCUUAGCCAGCCAGCUUGGAGCCCGGGGGAGCUUUUACUAACUCUUCUCUGCCUGUUCCUGCCGAUUUUCUACCUCCAUGGACCGGGGCAGCUCCAGGUGUGUGCAGAAAUCGGAUGGAUCUUCUCCCAGACUGCUCCUGGGUUUCUGUGUCCUGAAAGCUCCAGGUAAUAUCUGGAAUAAGGAGACACCGAAUAGCAUCCACAUAUUGUUGAACCCAGCAAGUACACUGGCCUCCUUCAACAGCUGUCUCAACCCAAUACUCUGUGUCUUCCUUGGUCAAGAAUUUAGAGAGAAACUGAUACAUUCCCUGUCUGCCAGUCUGGAGAGGGCCCUGCGAGAAGACUCAGUCCUGAGCACUUGGCAAAAGCAGCAACUUUUCUUCAUGUCCUGCAGAUUCUGAACUAUAGAAAAUGGUAGCUGCAAGUCCAGUGGAAUGCUUCCUGUGCUACUGUAUUCUCACUCUCUCAUGCUACCUUGCAUUAUAUUUUUUAAUAUUAAUUUUAAAAUCAUUUUUGUCCUUCAGUUUGUAAAAAUUUAAUGAAAAUAAAAACUAGUACCAUACAUUA